CCUACGGGAGGCAGCAGUGAGGAAUAUUGGACAAUGGGCGAGAGCCUGAUCCAGCCAUGCCGCGUGCAGGAAGACGGCCCUAUGGGUUGUAAACUGCUUUUAUACAGGAAGAAACACUCCCUUGCGAGGGAGCUUGACGGUACUGUACGAAUAAGGAUCGGCUAACUCCGUGCCAGCAGCCGCGGUAA
rnacentral:rRNA from 1 species